CCUACGGGAGGCAGCAGUGGGGAAUAUUGGGCAAUGGGCGCAAGCCUGACCCAGCAACGCCGCGUGAAGGAAGAAGGCUUUCGGGUUGUAAACUUCUUUUCUCAGGGACGAAGCAAGUGACGGUACCUGAGGAAUAAGCCACGGCUAACUACGUGCCAGCAGCCGCGGUAAUACGUAGGUGGCAAGCGUUAUCCGGAUUUACUGGGUGUAAAGGGCGUGUAGGCGGGACGGCAAGUCAGAUGUGAAAACCACGGGCUCAACCUGUGGCCUGCAUUUGAAACUGGAGUUCUUGAGUACUGGGGAGGCAGACGGAAUUCGUGGUGUAGCGGUGAAAUGCGUAGAUAUUAGGAGGAACACCAGUUGCGAAGGCGGUCUGCUGGACAGCAACUGACGCUGAGGCGCGAAAGUGUGGGGAGCAAACAGGAUUAGAUACCCCAGUAGUC
rnacentral:rRNA from 1 species